ensembl:snRNA U1 U1 spliceosomal RNA
AUACUUACCUGGCAAGGGAGAUACUAUGAUCACAAAGGUGGUUUUCCCAGGGCGAGGCUUUUCCAUUGCGCUCCAGUUGUGCUGACCUCUGUGAUUUCCCUGAAUGUGAGAAACUCAACUGCAUAAUUUGUGGUAGGGGGGGACUGCAUUCUUGCUUUCCCCUG